GACGAACGCUGGCGGCGUGCUUAACACAUGCAAGUCGAACGAAGAGCGAUGGAAGCUUGCUUCUAUCAAUCUUAGUGGCGAACGGGUGAGUAACGCGUAAUCAACCUGCCCUUCAGAGGGGGACAACAGUUGGAAACGACUGCUAAUACCGCAUACGAUCUAAUCUCGGCAUCGAGGAUAGAUGAAAGGUGGCCUCUACAUGUAAGCUAUCACUGAAGGAGGGGAUUGCGUCUGAUUAGCUAGUUGGAGGGGUAACGGCCCACCAAGGCGAUGAUCAGUAGCCGGUCUGAGAGGAGGAACGGCCACAUUGGGACUGAGACACGGCCCAGCAUCCUACGGGAGGCAGCAGUGGGGAAUCUUCCGCAAUGGACGAAAGUCUGACGGAGCAACGCCGCGUGAGCGAUGACGGCCUUCGGGUUGUAAAGCUCUGUUAAUCGGGACGAAAGGCCUCCUUGCGAAUAGUGAGAAGGAUUGACGGUACCGGAAUAGAAAGCCACGGCUAACUACGUG
rnacentral:rRNA from 1 species